AUUAUAUAUUCAUGUAGUUAGACCGGGGAGUAAAGUACAGAAGAGUGAAUAAAUAAAAAUUGAUCUUCAUGAAAAGAUGUUUGACACAAAUAAGGGAAGAAAUUCCGGCAUGUUCUCACAAACAAAGAGUGUUGUCCAUGCGUUUCAAGUUGAAGAUACACCAUGGCAUGGUCCACAGCUCGGACCUUAUACUUACGUUAUUAUCUUUUGAAUACAGGUACACGUGGCGGUACAGACGGUUUUUUUCUGUCUGAAAAUUCUACAAUGGUAUUUUAAUAGCUGAUUUUGGUUUAGUAUUAUGUUCACGUUGGUUUUAAUUGAGACCAUCAGUUUUAUGAAUUUCGGGGGGUGCUUUUUAUGCCGAGUUUGGUUUGUAAUAAAAAUAGAUGGGUUGAAAUUUAG